GCAGUGAUGAUUCAGUGAUAGAAUUCUCACCUUCCAUGCAGGAGACCCAGGUUUGAUUCCCGGCCAAUGCA
rnacentral:tRNA from 1 species